CAGUGUUACAGCUCUUUUAGAAUUUGUACAGCAGGUUUUCUGGUUUCUACCAGAAAACCCCC
ensembl:snRNA U7 U7 small nuclear RNA